CCUAAAUCUAAAAAUAUUUCCUAUUUUUUCUCUGACUUAUUUGAUUACUUGUCAAUGAUAGUCAUAAAAUUAAAAUAUUUCCUAGUUUUGCUGACUUAUGUUACUACCUGUCAGUACUGCUUACUUUUUUAACUCCUAAACAUAAAAAUAUUUCCUAUUUCUGCCGACUUAUCUGAUUACUUAUCAGUGAUAGUCACAAAGUUAAAAUAUUUCCUAUUUUCGCUGACUUAUGUUACUAUCUGACAUUAAGAAAGCUCUUAAAACUAUCCUUUUUUGCAUUAUAAUCCUACUGCCUUAAAAUUCCAACUUUCUCACACAUGAGGAGGGAAUCCUGGCUAAAUGGCUUGAGGAAAACGUUAGACGAGAAACUAUCUGACCCUGAAUUCCUGAGCCGGUUGAGACAAGGAAUCGCUCGAUCGCUGACAUGCGGUUCUACAUCUCGGCAGAUCUCAGAUUUGCAAGUUACAACGCAGAUAAUUACGGUAAAAAAGAUUAUAUAAGAAUUAACAUGAUGCAGUGGGAAUACGCGCAAACCUUGUUCUAUGGCAGUGUGCUUUAUAUACAUUUUCUCUUUCUGAAGUCAAGAAAGUUAAUUAAAUUAGGAUUGAAAAUUUUCCACUAGUCUCACCCAGCUAUGUCUAUGUAAUAUUCCAAGAAUCUGUACCGUACGACUGAAAUCUAAAAUUAAAAUUAAAAAAAUUCUUUUACGGCCAAAGUCUUAUUUAAUUAGUCUCUGACUUUUGAAAGUUUAAUCUGGAAUAUCAAAUCUCUGAAAUUAAGACUUGAAAUUAUGCAACAUCAAGUAUAUGCAAUUUAAAUAUCACUCUUCUGAAAGUAAGACUUGUAGCUAUGUAAUAUUAAGUAUAUGCAAUUUAAAUACUUUGUUUGAGUGCCCUUUUAUACGGCCUAAAUCCCAAGUCUGGAACUCCAAUGAUUCUCGAAAUUCUGGAAUUAAAACUUUAUCAACAUAUUAUAUUUUAAAUCCCAAGAGCCUUAGUAUCAAAGGGAAAUAUAUGAACUUUCUCUUCCUCAUUCAUAAUUGUUUUCUAUACCUGGUUAAACUGAUACCUGGAGGAUAAAUGAGCGGCGAAACUCAGAGGAUCUGGUGGAUCCCAUAGCUUCACCUCUCAGCGGAAAAUAACGUUAAACCUGGAGGACGAAUGAGCGAUGAACCUCAGAGAACCUAGCGGAUCCAACAGCUUCAUCACUCAGCACAUAAUAACGUCUGUGGAAACUGUAACGCCUCCUGAACCGUCAAACCUCACCGCCGAGAAAUCAUGAUGUCUCAA